rnacentral:rRNA from 1 species
GAGUAGCGGCGAGCGAAACGGGAAGAGCCCAAACCAGUGUGCAUGCACACUGGGGUUGUAGGACUCUAACGUGGACUCAAAUGAGUUAGUAGAAGCUGGUGGGAAACAGCGCCAAAGAGGGUGAGAGCCCCGUAUACGAAAACUGAUUUGUACCUAAGAGUAUCCUGAGUACGGCGGAACACGUGGAAUUCCGUCGGAAUCCGCCAGGACCAUCUGGCAAGGCUAAAUACUCCCUAGUGACCGAUAGUGNNNNNNNNNNGAGUGAAAGAGUACCUGAAACCGUGUGCUUACAAGUAGUCAGAGCCCGUUAAGGGGUGAUGGCGUACCUUUUGUAGAAUGGACCGGCGAGUGACGAUAGUUGGCGAGGUUAAGUUGAAGAAACGGAGCCGUAGCGAAAGCGAGUCUGAAUAGGGCGAAAGUCAGGUGUCGUCGACCCGAAACCAAGUGACCUACCCAUGUGCAGGUUGAAGGUGCGGUAAGACGCACUGGAGGACCGAACCAGGACACGUUGAA